rnacentral:misc_RNA from 1 species
CAUCCUGUCCGCGUCUCUUCAAUUGUUGGAUCGAGCAAUUGCUCGUCCGAUGUCGGUUUUCCUGUGUUGAAUACCUAUCGCGAGGGCAUUGUGUUGGCUACCAUUGUCUCAUUCCCGUCCCGUGCUGCUUCCCCUCGUGGGCUGGYGGUGCGGGUUGGGCCAAAUAGCRCGCGUCGUGUCUCGYUCCCCGAUCGCCCAUUAAAYGGCGUUCGGAUCGAUGAACCACGACGGGUCGCUCGGUCUCUCGGGUACGGAACAUCAUGUGGGUACGGGGCCCUCGGCCUUGGAGCACCACAAACAAGCGUUCUACGCUUCGUGCGAACGACCGUCAGCUCGGUCUCCU